GUCUCUUGUUUGUUUUAUUAGAGGUGGUUUCUGCUCAGUGUUUAUAAAUAGCCGCAGUAAUUUGACUGUGCAAAGGUAGCAUAAUCAUUUGCCUCAUAAUUGGGGGCUGGAAUGAAUGGGAUUACGAAAGUUUUACUGUCUUUUGUUUAGUUUAAUAAUUUGUAUUUGGUGUGAAGAUACACUAAUUUUUUAGUAAGACAAGAAGACCCUUUUGAGCUUUAUUUAUUUUACUUUUUUUAUUUAGAUUUAAUUUGGUUGGGGCGACCAAGGAAGAAAGCUAUAGUCUUAUAAAUAUCUUCCUUUUUUAUUAUUAAGAGCCUUUAGUUUUGAAUUUUAGACUUAGUUACCAAAGGGAUAACAGCGUAAUUUUUUUUGAGAGCUCUUAUUAAAAAUGAAGAUUGCGACCUCGAUGUUGACUUAUAGUUUCCUUUUGGUGCAGUAGCUAGUAGGGUAGGUCUGUUCGACCUUUAAUACUUU
rnacentral:rRNA from 1 species